AAGUCGUAACAAGGUUUCCGUAGGUGAACCUGCGGAAGGAUCAUUAACUGUGGCGCCGGGACCACACCGCUCUGCGGCCCGGUCGCGUCUGUGUGGAUGUUCCGUGUUGCUGUUGUGUGAUUGGCGCUUGCGCCAUACCUACGUCCAAGCAUUUGAACAUUAUAACAUUAUAACAAUACAACUGUUGGCAAUGGAUCACUCGGUUCUCA
rnacentral:misc_RNA from 1 species